rnacentral:tRNA from 1 species
AUUUAUAUAGUUUAAAAAACAUUACAUUUUCACUGUAAAGAUAAAGGAAUACUUUUAUAAAUA